AAUCUGACAAAAUAGUAUAUUCCGCUUUUUUGCUAACUGUAAAUUUAAGUCCUACGAAGAAGUGUAUAAUUACAGUUAUUUUCAACGACACAAUUCUGUUAUUUUAUUUUCUUAAAGAUUUCGAAAAGCUUCACUGGGUUAUAUUCUUCAUAACAUCUGCAUGAAGUGCAUUAACCAUGGAAAACAACAGAGUUUGUCAGCUUUGGUGCAUUUAAUGAAUGUUAUAAUCUUUCUUUUCAUAUCUUUUAGGCUUUAGAGAUAGUUAGAUAUGUUCAGCAAGAAAUUUCAAAUAUUCUAAAGAACAAUGAUUGGUUGGACGAGAAAACUAAAAUGCAUGCCAUAGACAAGGUGAAUUUCAUGGAACUAGGAAUUGGAUUUCCAGACGAGCUGCUAAAUGACUCCUACGUCUCUGAACUGUAUGAAAAUAUAACGUUCAGUAACGAAAGCCAUUUUGACAACGCUUUGAAAAUUAUUGAAGCUGCUACAAGAUCAGACAUACUCUGUAGAUUGGUUAUCUGUGAAAGGUGUGAAGU